ACCGGUUGUGGCGCCAGCUGCACCGCCGGGUAUCCACGUUGGGUCAGGAUAAGCGCUGAAAGCAUCUAAGCGCGAAGCCGUCUUCGAGAUGAAUUUUCCCUUGAGGGUCGUGGGAGACUACCACGUUGAUAGGCAGGAUGUGUAAGGUCGGUGACGGCCUCAGCAGACCUGUACUAAUUGCCCGAAAGACUUUCUCUUAAAGA
rnacentral:rRNA from 1 species